GAUGAACGCUAGCGGCAGGCUUAACACAUGCAAGUCGAGGGGUAACAGGGUUUUCGGACUGCUGACGACCGGCGCACGGGUGCGUAACGCGUAUACAAUCUACCUUACACUGAGGGAUAGCCCAGAGAAAUUUGGAUUAAUACCUCAUAGUAUUUAUGAUUCACCUGGAUUAUAAAUUAAAGGUUACGGUGUAAGAUGAGUAUGCGUUCUAUUAGCUAGAUGGUAAGGUAACGGCUUACCAUGGCGACGAUAGAUAGGGGUCCUGAGAGGGAGAUCCCCCACACUGGUACUGAGACACGGACCAG
rnacentral:rRNA from 1 species